UACGUAGGGGGCAAGCGUUGUCCGGAUUUAUUGGGCGUAAAGGGCGCGUAGGCGGUGCGGUAAGUCUGUAGUGAAAUCUCUGGGCUCAACUCAGAGUCUGCUGCAGAAACUGCCGUGCUUGAGUGUGGGAGAGGAUAGUGGAAUUCCCAGUGUAGUGGUGAAAUACGUAGAGAUUGGGAAGAACACCAGUGGCGAAGGCGGCUAUCUGGACGGUUUCUGACGCUAAGACGCGAAAGCGUGGGGAGCAAACAGG
rnacentral:rRNA from 1 species